UUUAGUAAAUCUGGCUGUCAUAACUGGGUGUAACAGGGAGAGCGUUCGCCGACUGGGUGACCGACCCUUCCUCCGCCCCGUCUACUCUAAGUGGGAGAUUAGCAGCGGUGCUGAAUAAAUAGGGCACAGGUUUCACGGGAGGCACUCUCCUGUCUUGCUGGGACCACUCGUGGGGAUUUCUUGUCUCUUGUCCCUCCUGCACCGUGUUGCAGAACGUUACAGCCGGUGGCGUACUGCUCUUCCGGGAUUGUAACACAGCCGUGUGGUUGUUGGCUCCUCAACAUUGUGAGCGUGUACUUGUUGACCUCGCAUUCAGUAUUCGGACGCGGUGGUCCUCUGUCUGGGUCCUGGCUCUCUAUCUUCCGGCUCUCUAUAUCUCUGCAGCUAUACGGGUCUGUGGCGUUUCGUGGGGUUGCUGUUCUGUUCCCCUUGCCUGUGCGGCCCAAUAUCCCAGUUGUCGUGAGCUUCUCUCCUCGUCUUCCUGGCCUGCUCGUCCUAUUUCUGCUAGCUGUCAAGUUGGACUACUUGCUCGAGGCUUCUGCUCGGGGUGCCUGCGUGUGUAUUUGAAUGCUAGUGCAUGUCGUGGUGUUUGGGUGCUUCUCGUUGUUUUGUCGUUUUGUUUGUAUGUUUGUAUGCUAGAAUAAGCGUUGGUGGCUCCGUCGCUUGCUGGCUUCCUCCCCUGCUUGUGGCUAAAUGUAUCCCGCUCUAGUUGUGUAAUUCCCUUCUUUUUUUUUUUUUAAUGCGUGUGCAGUGUUAUUUUCAUAGUUUGGUUAAGUUUAUAUCUUGUGAUUUGCAGUGAAAAAAGCAUGUUUUGUUUUUGUACAGGGAUUUUUCACCAAGGAAGUAGGGCAUUCGUCGGGGUCAGCAAGGUAGCUUGAAUAGGAAGUCACCUUGCAUACUUGUGGAUCCAUGAAUUGCUAUACUCUGUGUAUUUGAAGACGGACAAAUAAAUUAUCUUUUGUAUCAGAUAAA